rnacentral:rRNA from 1 species
UAGGGAAUCUUCGGCAAUGGGGGGAACCCUGACCGAGCAACGCCGCGUGAGUGAAGAAGGUUUUCGGAUCGUAAAGCUCUGUUGUUAAGGAAGAACGAGUGUGAGAAUGGAAAGUUCAUGCUGUGACGGUACUUAACCAGAAAGGGACGGCUAACUACGUGCCAGCAGCCGCGGUAAUACGUAGGUCCCGAGCGUUGUCCGGAUUUAUUGGGCGUAAAGCGAGCGCAGGCGGUUAGAAAAGUCUGAAGUGAAAGGCAGUGGCUCAACCAUUGUAGGCUUUGGAAACUGUUUAACUUGAGUGCAGAAGGGAAGAGUGGAAUUCCAUGUGUAGCGGUGAAAUGCGUAGAUAUAUGGAGGAACACCGGUGGCGAAAGCGGCUCUCUGGUCUGUAACUGACGCUGAGGCUCGAAAGCGUGGGGAGCGAACAGG